CAGCCGCCGCGGUAAUACGUAGGUGGCAAGCGUUAUCCGGAAUUAUUGGGCGUAAAGCGCGCGUAGGCGGUUUCUUAAGUCUGAUGUGAAAGCCCACGGCUCAACCGUGGAGGGUCAUUGGAAACUGGGAAACUUGAGUGCAGAAGAGGAAAGUGGAAUUCCAUGUGUAGCGGUGAAAUGCGCAGAGAUAUGGAGGAACACCAGUGGCGAAGGCGACUUUCUGGUCUGUAACUGACGCUGAUGUGCGAAAGCGUGGGGAUCAAACAGGAUUAGAUACCCCCGUAGUCCUGUCUCUUAUACA
rnacentral:rRNA from 1 species